rnacentral:rRNA from 1 species
CUACGGGAGGCAGCAGUAAGGGAUAUUGCGCAAUGGGCGAAAGCCUGACGCAGCAACGCCGCGUGGAGGAUGACGGCCUUCGGGUUGUAAACUCCUUUGGAUCGGGACGAGCAAGGACGGUACCGGUCAAACAAGUCACGGCUAACUACGUGCCAGCAGCCGCGGUAAAACGUAGGUGGCAAGCGUUAUCCGGAUUUACUGGGCGUAAAGCGUGUGCAGACGGAGCGUCAAGUGGUGUAUGAAAUCGCUCGGCUCAACCGGGCGGGUGCAUGCCAGACUGGCGUUCUGGAGACAGAGAGAGGGACGUGGAAUUCCGGGUGUAGUGGUGAAAUGCGUAGAGAUCCGGAGGAACCCCUGAGGCGAAGGCGGCGUCCUGGCUCUGGUCUGACGUUCAGACACGACAGCAUGGGGAGCGAACGGGAUUAGAUACCCCAGUAGUCC